AUCAUCAUCAUCCUCAUCCUCAUCAGUAUCAUCGCUAUCACUUUCAACCGGUAUUUUGGGCUUUGGAGGAGGUACAUAACUUAUUGUGGACCUUCUGCGUGAACUUGACACAAUAUUACUCGUGUCAAUGCCCUCAAGUUCUUUUGCUCUUUCCUUCCUCUUUCUGACUUCCUUGAUUUCUGAGGAUAUGAAAUCAAUAAGCAAUGGAAAUAAGUGUACGGAUAUCGAUGACCACAUAUUGCAUCCCUUCUAUUUUCCAAAUUAGACCAUAAUCUAACCACCAUAUCAUCAAAAGUCAUUCUUAUACAUUCUAAAUUUACCAAGACGACCACAACACUUUUUGCAGAGCAUGCAAAAUGAUAAUGAAACAAAAGUGCAUUUGAUAUUAUACUUUCCUAUUUCUCUAAGCAAACUGUAAUAUUCUUCCAGAUAUAUUAGUUUCUACGUAUACAGAGGUUUGAUUCCCCCUUUUUCCCUUAUUCAUUGAAAUUGUCAAAAUAAACAAUACAGCAACAAACAAUGUACACUGGAAUAUCUGAUCAUUUUAUCUACAGAUAACAGAACAAAAAUUUUCAACUGUUUCUUGAAGAGGGAAGAAAGGGGGGGAUUGGGGGGGACGGGGGGAGAGUGGGUUGAUUAGUAGGCCUUUCGCCCCUGGACCGUGCAACAGGAUGGUAACCCUCCCGCACUCUAUUACCACCCAAUUCCACCUUAUCGGGUAUGAUAGUUCUCUCUUAUCCACAGGGGAGUUACUGGCUUGGAGAAAUAACUCAAGUUAUUAAAAAUAAUAAGAAAUGUCUUUUUAGUUUUUACCCAUUUCAGCUCAGCUGUAGCCUUUUGGUAUACAAGAGAACAGAGCAUUAAAGGGGUAGGAAAAGGAAUACUGCUUCAUGAAGCCCAUUGUUUGGCUUCAGCAAAAUGAGAUUUCUAAAAGCAAAAAGAAACCUAUUGCCAGCAAGAAAAUAAAAUAACAAUCAACAUUAAACUAAUUUCGUAAGGAAACAAUAUCAAACCCAAAAAGUAGCACAGUAGUUAUUCACCUAAAAUAUCAGAGCUAGAAGUUGAUAGACACCUUUUUCAGAAGGGUUUGAUGACAAUCCUUCUCUAGAAAGUAUCUCCUCCAGCUCCUUUAUUAGCUGGGCCUCACGUUUGCUCUCAGGAACCUGUUUAACCUUCUUGUAAACUACAGGAGGCACACUCAUCCCACAGGAUUUUAUUACAGAUUUUAGAUGCUCAACAUGUUUCCCAUAUGCUGGAGUUGAAGCUUCCCUUUUCUUGACUGGUUUUUCAGCUGAUGAUUGAGAAUGGCCAUCUUCAGAGGCAUUUCCACUGUCUUCUGCAUCACUAUUGUCCUCUGCUACUGUUUCCACAGGCUUUAUCCGCUUCUUGCCAGAUACUUCGGAUUCCUUUUCAAGCCUCUUCCGUUUUUUAGUCCCCUCAGAAUUUAGCACCUUUUGCUUUGGACCAAUUUUCUUCUUUGGGUUUACUUCUUCAUCCUCCUCAUCACUUUCACGAUCCGAAGAAUCUGAACUACCUUCACUGCUCAUCUUUUUAGAUGCUUUGCCUUGAGAUUUAGUUUUUAUAUUUUUCUUCUUAGGUUCAGGAACUUCAGAAGAUUGUAAUACCUCAUCUAACUGCUUGCUUAUAAGUGUCUUGUAGGGAUCAAGUGCAUGUUUUUCAAGUCUUAAAUCUUCCUCUAAAAGUCGGCGAAGUCCAGCCAUUGUAACCUUUUCAGAAUUAACUUUGAUAUAGGAAGCUCUUUUCAACAAGGCUUUCUUUAUGCUGCUAUCGCUUGGAACUUCUUUAUUCUUAUCAAUUAGAGUUUCCUUGGUUUCUGAUUUGGGUGGUUUUUUCCCUGUCAAAAGGCCCAUCACAGGAGAGUCUUCCAUUUUCUGCUCAUCUUCAGAAUAAGGUUCUUUUCUGUCAUUUUUAGAUUCAUGCCCUUCAGGUGAUUCUAUUGCUUCUCUUUUUGUUGAACAGGCGUGUUUCUCCUCAGUUUCCCAAGAAUCCUUGGAAACAUUGUCAUUAACAGCACCUUCUAAGCACUCGACCAGACAUUGCUUAACAAAUCUCUUGUGCACAUCCAGUGCAUACUUCUGCAAUCCCAAGUCCUUCUCUAAGAGCCUCCUUACCCCUUCAAAGGUCAAAGAAUCGGCUUGUUCUUUGAAGUGGUUGACGCGGGAGCCCAUAGCAUCCUCAAUCAGCGACUCGAUAUCAGGCGAUUCCUCCGGCGGCGUUUCAUUUUUCACCGUCUCGGUAUCUUGAGGCUCCUCUGCCAUUCUCGGCGCUACUGACAGCGGGAAAACGGAGACGGAGUUUUUUCUUUGCGGGGCUAAAAAGUCUAAAAUACACACCGGAAAUGGAGAACCCAGGAAAAAGAGGGGGCCUAGGAAAGUUCAUGGCAACUCUUUUGAAAGCUGUCGUGCAUUUACACGCGCUCCUCCAACGACACCUCCUAUUUCCAUCGUUUAGGAGGAUCCGUG
rnacentral:misc_RNA from 1 species